GGGCAUUCCACGUAAAACUCUUGUAUUUGUUUUACUUUGUGUUAUUUAUUUUCCACAAUUUUUCUUUCAAGGGACUUGGUCCAUUGACCAUUAGUGGACGCAUACAUUCUAUGAGUAAUAAUAAGAUUGAAAAAGAAACCACUAAGAAAAAGUAAGGGUUAAAUCCAUCAAAUGGAAUCCUGGAGCCACCUCUUGAUGCUAAUAUUCUGGCCAAGAUCAGUAACAAAGAUAUAAUGUAAUCUGGUUUAACUAACCCUAAAGCUAGCUCAUCUCUGUGCAAUCUCAUAUAGGGCCCUAUUCAGGUGUGUCACAAUUAUGGUAGUAGCUAUAUGUGUCAUCUUUCUUCAAUUGUGUCUGUAAUGGUUUCAUGAACUGGAGUUCCAGGUUCUGUUGUAGAGAACCCUUCAGCAGCAGGGGAUACUCCUAGUCCGUCGGAAAUUCUGAUUUCUGGGAUUUGCGAAGGAAGGUCAGGCAAUAUCUCAGGAGAAGCUUCACUUGCUGCGAGCAGUGUAGGUGCAUUGCUUCCAUUGCUUUCAGAUGGCUCUUCUGACAUAGAAUUAGAGCUGUCUUUCUCUUCAUCAAAGACUUUUGCAAUUGCAGUAAGCUUUUGCCAUAUUGAAUCAUCAGUGGCUAAGAUUUCUCUAUUCUGAUAAAGGAGGAUGAGGAAGAAUAGGAGAAGAGCGGAGCCUGCUGAAACACCAGCUAUGAGGAAAAGUCCCUUAAAACUAUCUAACGUGAGGCUAUCAGAUGUUAUUGCCGUUUCAUCUUUCUGUGGACAAUCUGUUUCAUUCCCAAACCAUUUCUGUAUUAUGUUAUUCAUAAACUCUCCCUCCAUCACCUUCAAGACUGCUCUUGAGACGUCAGGUACCAAAGGAGAUCCUUUUGGAAAUGCCUGCAAUAAAAGAUUAGAUGAUUGAGUAAACAACAAAUCAUUCUAAAUAUAUAUGUUAACAGUGUCUGAAACAUCAGUGGAGUGUACAAUCUUACAAACCCAAAGCCGGCAGCCUUGUAUGUCUGGCCGACCAUAAUAUACUUCCUGCAGUACUUGUUGAGGAAGAGUCUGAGAUAAGGUAGUUCAUCAACAAUUGCACCUACACCUCCAAUUUUUUGCUUCCUCUUGAGAGUGCAUCAUUAUACUCUUCCAAUGUGCUAUAAUUUCUGAACUUGGAGCUGUCAAAUUUCAUGUGCUUUAUGAAGACGUCUUUGACAAAGGAACCUUCUUGGUACCCAACAUAUUCUCCAUUCUUGAUGAGAUCAUUGAGGUCUGUUAUAGUAGGUUGGAGCUGUUGCAGUGUCAACAUAGAUGUUAAGCUGGCUGUAUAACUUGAUGUCAGCACCAGAACCACAAAAACCCACACAAUCAGCAAAAAUCUUGUUAAGUUACUUGUUACCCUCUCUCCUGCAACAACCAGCCAUAUAUAUGAUUUGUUGAGACACAAGGAAAAAUCCUAUAUCUUUCGUAUAUAAUAAUAUGCUUUGAGUUAGUGUCUUACUAUGAGCAAAAACGAGAGUUGAGAAGGAAAACCAAAAUAUCAUCCCAACUUGGUUGCGUUUGGGUCCUCGGAACUCUUUGUUUACACGAUGUUCGAGUACCCAAACCACAAAACCAAUGAAAACGAAGAAUGCUCCAGUUGUUAUCCAAAGCUCGCUCUUUAGAGGUUUCAAGAAAAUCCAAGCAUCCCUCCUAUCAUCAUCCCUUACCGGCACAACUACAGAAAUACCUGACUCUAUAAAAGGUAAUGUGAAAUCCACAUACUCUGACCGGCUCGCUAAAAUGGUCACAUCACCUACAACUGCAUCAUAGUCCUGGCUCAAGCAAACAUUGAUUAUUCCAGUAUGUAUAGUUGAUUGUAAUAGCAGAAAAUAGAUAUCGAAGUCCCAAAAAGGGCCAUGUUAGUAAGAUAUAGAGCCAAAGAGGUUUAUUGGAACAGAGAUUAUAUAUUACCUGAGAGGUGAUCUUGUGAACAAGAUCAUCAUAGUCUGGAAGAGUGAGGGGAUCUUGUAUUGGAAAUGGAAUAAAUUCGUAAGGGAGAGCAUAUGGCAAAGAUAGGAUGACUUCUUUGAAGACAUCUGCACAGAAACCAGUUGCUGUUACUGCUUGUGUUUUUGAAUCUCUUUCCACUUUAAUGAGUUGCUCCAGCCCUCCUUUGAGAGGAACUCCAACCCUUAACUUCUUCCCACUUGUGGGCAUUUCCCAGCCUCUUGGAACAAUAGUUGAUUCACCAGGCCAAAAAAUGGCUCCUAGUUGCUUAUUAUUACACUUAACUGCUGUUUUACCAUUCAUCUUCAGUUUACACGAAAUGCCAUCCCUCUUCGUCCAAAAUCCAAUGUUUUUCUCUCCUUUCCCAAUUAUAUUCACAAUCUGAUAUGGGAUUGGCUGCAGUUCUCCAUUGAUGAUACGGAAAUCACCACUUAAUCCUUGUUUUAGCACUGUGUUUCGCAUAGAGUCAAUGAGCAGAGAUCCCACUGCUGACGUUCCAAGUGCAUCUAAGUCUGUUAAGUUCUCUCUGGUGUCUGGUUUCUUUAAUUUUGGGAUAGCAGUAGUGCCUACUUUAUCUACUGCUUCUGCUAAUGAGGUGAUGCUAUCGUAUGCCCAUAGCCCAAAAACAUUGAGUUCUAUUUGGUCCAUGUCUGGAUACUCUUGACGGAAUCUCUUUCUCCAUCUCUUUGUGUAGUUGUUAAGCUGAUUUGAUCUUGGAAUGUAAGGUUUUAUACCAAGAACACCUUGCAUUGAUGACUCGAUCACUGAAUGAUCUACCAAGUCCAGAAGACUCGUUAGCACAUCUGUGAUGAUCCAUGCAUAUCCACUGCUCAUCAUCCCUGCUUCUUUGGCCUUGAGAAAAAGGCGGGAGGCAAGAUAUGGACGCAAGUGCACGACGAACACCCUUGUUUGCUUUGUAUUCAUAUUGUAUAACUCCUUGAGAAUCUGAUCAUCAUUGGCUGACGGAGAAAUAACACUUCUAUAGGAGACUAAAGUGCUGAUUUCCAGUAAGGCAUCAGUCAAAUGUGGAACUAUCCCGAACCCAUAGGGGCUAUCCUCAUAGAUGACCACAACCUCCCUCCAAUCAAAGUUUUUAACAAGUGCUGCAAUGGCCUUAGUCUGGCUGGAAGAAGGAAGUGCUGCUCUGAUGAAGAAGGGAUUUUCCUUGACUGUAAGUAAAGGACUUGUUGCUGGAGAAAUGAUUGGGACUUUUACUCUGUUCCCUAAGUCGAUCACAAAAUCAGUUUGUGUAGACAUUUGUGGCCCAAAGAUAGCUUGUACUUGGACAUCCUUUAGCAAGUAUAUGGCUGCACAUACACAAUCAGACAAUAAGAAUUUACCCAAAGUAAGAGUUUAAUAGAAGUGAAUCAUGGAACUGAAUUUACCAGCAGAUGUUGCUUCAACAUCAUCUUUCUUGGAAUCCUUGAUAUGAGGAACUAUCCUUAUGGCACCGCGACUAGCGUUGGCAUGAUAAUCUUCAAGUGCUAGUAAGAUAGAUAUGUGCAUUACUUUUCCCACAUCUGUUUCCAGAUCAAGAAUUAUACCCACAUCCACCUUUACAGCACUAGUGUUAUUAUCUUCACCUCUUAUUCGAACCACAUAGUGGUAAAAGCUAAUGAUGGAGAUAAGUUGAAAUGAAAAGAAUUAGAAAAGUGGCAUCUUGGAUUAUGCAUUUGAAAAAACUCUGGUAGCAAGUAGUCUGAGAGAUGGGCAACAAGCAGUUGUGCUUGUGCAAGAUAACCACACAUUCAGAAUGACAAUUUUCCUAUAAUUAAUAAGACCAAACUCCAUAAAUGAAGAAAGAAAAGUCAAAGAACAAAUGGUUGAAAAUCAAGUAUUCGUUUGAUUAUUGAAAGUGAGGACUUUUCACAUAUGCUACAACCGCACAGCUAGUAAGCAUAUUACCCCUCAGGUUUGACUAAAUAAAAAUUUGACAAAAUUGAUUGGUACUCAUUCCCCAACACCCAAUUACUUUUUGUGUGUACUAUCUAGAGGAUAUAUUCAAGGGAACUUACAUGAAUUCAACUAAUUUAGGAGUUAAUUACUUAAAUACAUUGUAGUUUGCAAUAUUACGUAUUUUACUAGAUUUUGGUAUGUCCAGAUACAUUCAGAUACAUAUAUGUGAGGUUACUUAGGAUCAAAAUUAGGUGUAAUUUGCUCUAGAUGCAUUGUAUCUAAGUGACUUUGCAUGUAUCUGGGAUACAUAACAAAUCUCGCUCGCCUCUCUCCCAUCUCUCACUCUCCUAUGUAUCUGAUAUUCCAUAUACAUGUGAAUCACACCAGAUACAUACACAUAAAUGUAUCUUAUGUGUAUAUAGUGUGAUUCGCAUGUAUCUGGGAUACAUAACAAAUCCCGCUUGCCUCUUUCCUCAUCUCGUUCCCCUAUCUUCCUAUUUUUGUGUAUCUGAUGGCAAAAAUUCAUGUAGCCAAAUGUAUUUUCCUCAAUAUAUGAUAGGAAACUCUUAAUUAGUGAUAGUAUACGAAAUAUUUUAAAAGUAUAGAAUAUAAUAGUAUAUAUGAUAGUGAAGUAUGUCUAAUGAUAUAGUUUUUCUGUAUUGAAAGGACUUCCCAAAUUUUGGCUGAGGCAUAAAAAGUUGACAAAUUUAGCUCAGUUACAAAUUCCACAAUUAAACCAAUAAGUAGAAGAGACCAUUGUUUUCCAACUUGGACAAGGCUAGAUACGACUAGUAAUCUUUAGUUUACGCGUUUUCAGUUACUAGUCUUUGGACACGUGCGUUGCACGUAUAUCCCAUAUUAUAUGGUUGCAUAAUAUAUGUCUAUAGUUACAAAUAUAUGUAUAAAAAAAAAUUGAUUGUGAUAUAAAUUGGAAAACAUGUAUAAGAUAAGAAAUCAAAACAGAUACCCUCAAAUUUCAAACUAUAAGCAUAAUAAGAAUAUGUAUUUCUAAUGAGUUUAAUCAAUCAUACCUUGCAAUAAUCUCUGCAAUUCAUUGAGAAACUUUCAAUCCAUACAUCAACAUUCAAUCGUGUAUAUAUAAAGAAAACUUGAAAUGCAUAACAACAAUUAUAUCUAUAUUUUUUAAAACACUAUAAAGUCAUUUUUUCUUUUUGCAUUAUAAUAUGGAUUGCACACAAUUUCUAUUAAAAAAAAGAAAGACAAAAUUAGGAAAAAUCGUAUCAAUAAAUUGGAAUGAAAAAUGUAAAAUUGUAAUAAGAGGAAGAGAAGAAAAAUACAGUAGAAUAUAUUACCUAACCAUGAAUAAGGAAGUAUGUUGAGUAAAAGAAGAGUAAUGCAAAAGUGUGAACUGAUAUAUGGAGGAAAUUGACAAAUAUAAUAAUCUAUAUUGAAUAAUGAAAAACAACUCUUCAAUUUCUGCAAAAAUUUUAUAACUACGAGCUCAAAAUAAUAUAAAUUUAUUAAUUUAAUAAAUGACAUAAAUAAAUAAAUAACAUAUAUUGUGUGUAUGUGUAGUUAAUGGGGUAGUGAAAAAGACUCUUUCUGAAAUUAUUUUUAUCUCUUUAAAGUAAUUUUGAACUUUUGAUAUUAGUGCUAUAGAAAAUCAUAUAAAGUCAUAAGCCACUGCAAGUUUUUAUAGUAAUUAUCUUAUUAAAUUAUAUACCUAUUAUUAUUUUUAAUUAUUUAUAAUCAUUCCGAAAAUGUAUAAAUUAAUUUUGAAAAGCUUGUAAAAUGAGAAAUUAUUAUUUCUUAUCAUUAUUUUAGCUAUUAUUAACAUUUAGUAUGACAACAUUUUAAAAAAGCAGCUUCCUUUAAAUAUUAAUUGUUUCUAAAUUAACAUAGCCAAGAAUUUAAAAUGUUGUGACGUUUUGUUUAUCUAAACACGCAGAAUUUUGUUUUUGAACCUGGAACAUGUAAUUAAGCCUUGGGUGAAUUAUAAUUUUAUUUUUACUAUUUAAUUAAUUAAAUAAUUUGUAACAUUUUAAUAUAAUGAAGGGGUAAAAUGGUAACUCAACUUUAAAGGUUGGAGCUUCCCACUUUUAGUAAUAUAUGAUAAAUUGGUCAGUAGUAGUAACCUAGUUUAAUUUGAUAUAAUAACAUUCAUGACAAAAUAAAUUAAAUAUGGCUAAUUAAGAAAAUAUAAUUAAAUAUGAUUAUCUUUAAUGUUAUUUAAAUUUGUAGGCGAUUUUUUUUGUAUUUUAAAAUUAAAAAAAGGCCAAAAAACCCACAAAAAGAGAUAAAUAGGAUUGAAGCCCUUAGAGAGCGUCACCUCACCGUUUUCAUAUUCAACUUUAUUAUUAUAUAUGGAUUUAGAUUUUUGCACAACCUUAAAUUUAAGGACACAUUUAGAUAUUAUAUCAAACAUUCAUUUAUUUGAAGUUGAAAUUACAUUUUACAUGAAAAUUGGAUAUUCCAUAUUCACAUUGAGUAUGAAUCUUUUUGUUUUUUUUACAAAAUUCAAAAUAAAAAAAUACAAAACAUAAACUUAUAGAUCAAAUUUUACAUUUGACAUUUGAAAGUUUUACUUUUCAUUAAACGUUUUGUUAUAGAAUUUGGAAUCGCCCUUUGAAAUUAGUAUUUAUAAAUGAAAAUAUUGAUCUAGUCCUGUUGAAAUUGUGUCUGGCCUAGUACUUUUUCUUAUUAGAGUGAUUAUUGAAUUAGGUUUAAUAUCAAUUUUCUUAAUUAGUUUUGUCAAUUGGCAGUGCUAAGAAGAUGGGAAUUUACGUUAUAUUAAAUUAUCUUUACAUUAAUAAAAAAAGAAAUUGUUGUUAGUAUUAUUUGUAAUAUAAUUAAACAAAAAUAACAAUGGGAAGAAAAUAAUAAGUAAAGAUUACACGUUGUAUUAAAAUAAUAAGUAUUAAAAAUUAUGAUAAAUUUUAUAAUAGUCAUAACAGGAAUUUACGCAAUAAUUACUAUAUUAGAAUACUAGAAAAAUUGAUAAGUUCCUCGACAUCUAAUCAUUGAUUAAAAUUUAAAUUAUUAUUUUCUUCUGCGAAAGUUUAAGAGAUUAAAUUAAUGUUUUAAAAAAUAAUAUUAAUUAUUUUCAAUGAUUAAUAAGAAAAUGUAUAUAGCAAGUACAUGUAUUAUUAUUACAUUAUUUAUAUCCACUCUAUAUUAAAUCAUUUUUCUAUUAUAGUUUGACGCAAAUUUCAGAAUGUAAAGAAUGUUUUGGAUUCGAAAAAUAAAUAUUCAAAAUAUACUAACAUGUCAUUUAAUCUUAUGAUAUUUUACAUUUCAUGUGAAAAAAAAUUAAAUAUUAAUUUUUUAAUAUGAAAAAUAUUAAUUUAUUAAUACAACAUAAAAGUAAUAAAGGACAAUAUAUAAAAAUAUUUGAAGUAUUUGAUAUUUUAUUAAAUUAAAAUAAUUCUAAAUUAAUAUAUAGCCGCGCAACGCGCGGGUACGUAUACUAGUGAAGAACAAUAAUAAAGAAGAAGACAAUUGAGUUAAUAUUUAUUUUUUCCAAGUUUAAUUUAACACAUGACCAGUUUUUAUUGGUCAGUGCUGUCAAAAAGUUGCACCCACGCGCCUAAAAUAGGUGAAAUCACGGACUCAGCCACGUAGGCCAAAAAGUGGUAAACAAUUAACUAAAAAAUAAGUUCAGGGGGGUAAUAGGACUUUAGUAAAGGUUAGGUGUGUCUCAGGGAUUUUGGGCAUAGGCUGGGGGGGUACUUAUGCAUUUUCCCUUAUGUUAAAUAUACCAAAAUGUUUUUUAAUCUUAUGACUUUAAACAUGUCACGUGAAAAACUGAAAUUAAAGUGUUGCCAAAAAAAGAAGGGUCAUUUUUUUUAAACAGACUAAACAGAAAAGUAGAUCUUUUUAAAACGGAAGGGAAGUAAUUGUUAAUGCAAGAGGAAGCUGCUUGAAAAGUUACGUAUAUGAUGUUGAAGUUGUCUAACAUGCAAUGCUGGUCCUAUAAUCUUUCAUUAUUUAUUAUCCAUGACUAUGGGUGGAUAAUAAUAGUUAUCUGCUAUGAUCAUAUAUACCUAGGGGUGGACAUAUUACUUAGAAAACUUAUGUUAGGUAAUUUUGAUUUCUAAAAAUACUAUAUGGUGUAUGCUAUUUGCAGAUGAUAGUCCUAAUCGACCAGACUCGUAAUAGAGUUAAUGUUAAGCUAGAGAAGAUAAUAAUGGCUCCCUUCUCAAAUAUUUCAUUGGUAGAAAUUUGCCUUCCAGAAUUUCAUAAUUGCAUCUGAUCCUUUCUGAUAACUCAAAGGGCAUCUUAAAUUGGUGCGGAAGUUUAAUUUUGACAUGGAACGCAAAUAUAUGCGGAAAAUUAGUAAUUCAAUAAAUAUUUAAUUAUGAAUGCAUAUUACAAAAGUGCAAGGAAUUCAAUUGUAAGAUGUUGAAGGUUAAACCCAUAAAUUCUAAAUACUAGAGACGCCUCUUAAUGCAAAUAUAAUAUGGUUUAACUAUUUUAAACCUGGCUCAUCUCUCUUAAGUUGUCCCUGUAAUGUUUUCAUGAACUGGAGUUCCAGGUUCUGUUGUAGAGAACCCUUCAAGUGCAGGGGAUGCUCCUAAGCCGUCGGAAAUUCUGAUUUCUGGGCUUUGCAAAGGAAGGUGGGGCAAUAUUUCAGUAGAGGCUUCACUUUCUGCAAACAGCAUAGCUGUUUGGAUUUCAUUGCCUUCAGAUGGCUCUUCUGACAUAGAAUUAGAGUUGUCUCUCUCUUUAUCAAAGGCAUUUGCUAUUGCAGAAAGCUUUUGCCAUACUGAAUCAUCAGUGGCUAAGAUUUCUCUAUUCUGAUAAAGGAAGAUGAGGAAGAAUAGGAGAAGAGCGGAGCCCGCUGAUACACCAGCUAUGAGGAAAAGGCCCUUAAAACUAUCGAGCAUGAGGCUAGAUGCUAUAGCCAUUCCAUCUUGCUUUGGACAAUCUGUUUCAUUCCCAAACCAUUUCUGUAUUAUGUUAUUCAUAAACUCUCCUUCCAUCACCUGCAAGACUGCUCUUGAGACGUCAGGUACCAAAGGAGAUCCUUUUGGAAAUGCCUGCCAGAAGUUGGGGGAAAAUAAAAGAUUAAAUUAUUGAGUAGAACAUAAACCAUUCUAAACAAAUGUAAACACGUUCUGAAACAUCACUGGAGUGCAACAUUCUUACGAAUCCAAAGCCAGCAGCCUUGUAUGUCGGACCGACCAUAAUAUACUUCCUGCAAUACUUGUUGAGGAAGAGUCUGAGAUAAGGUAGUUCAUCAACAAUUGCACCAACACCUCCAUUUUUACUUCCUCUUGAGAGGGCAUUACUAUACUCUUCCAAUGUGCUAUAACUUAUGAACUUGGAACUGUCAAACUUCAUGUGCUUCAAGACAUCUUUGACAAAGGAACCUUCUUGGUACCCAACAUAUUCUCCAUUCUUGAUCAGAUCAUUGAGGUCAGUUAUAGAAGGUUGGAGCUGUUGCACUGUCAACAUAGAUGUUAAGUUGGCUGUAUAACUUGAUGUCAGCACCAGAACCACGAAAACCCACACAAUCAGCACAAAUCUUGUGAAGUUACUAGUAACCCUCUCUCCUGAAACAACCAGCCAUAUAUAUGAUUUGUUGAGAAACAAGGAUAAAUCCUAAAGCUUUUUGUAUAUAAUUUGCUUUGUGUUAGAGACUUACUAUGAGCAAAAACGAGAGUUGAGAAGGAAAACCAGAAUAUCAUCCCAACUUGCUUGUGUUUGGGUCCUCGAAACUCUUUGUUUACACGAUGUUCAAGUACCCAAACCACAAAACCAAUGAAGAUGAAGAAUCCUCCUGUUGUUAUCCAAAGCUCGCUCUUUAGAGGUUUCAAGAAAAUCCAAGCAUUCUUUCUAUCAUCAUUCUUUACCGACACAACAGCAGAAAUACCGGACUCUGAAAAAGGUAAUGUGAAAUCCACAUACUUGGCUCGGCUCGCUAAAAUGGUCACAUCACCUACAACUGCAUCAUAUUCCUGGUUCAAGCAAACAACGAUUAUUUUAGUAUAUAUGGUUGAUCUCAGUCAAAGAAGAAAGUAGAUAUGGAAGUCCCGGAAAGGAGCAUGUAAGGUAUUCAGCCAAAAAGGUUAAUUCAAAAAAGAAUUGGAUAUUACCUUUGAGGAGAUCUUGUAAACAAGAUCAUCAUAGUCUUGAGAAGUGGGGCUAACUAUUGGAAAUGGAAUAAAUUCGUAAGGGAUGGCGUAUGGCAAAGAUUGGAUAACUUCUUUGAAGACAUCUGGAAUGAAACCAGUUGCAGUUACUGCUUGUGUUUUGGCAUCUAUUUCCACUUUAAUGAAUUGCUCCAGCCCUCCUUUGACAGGAACUCCAACCCUCAACUUCUUCCCACUUGUGGGUAUUUCCCAGCCUCUCGGAACAAUAAUAGAUUCACCAGGCCAAAUGAUGGCCGCUAGUUGCUCAUUCAUACUCUUAGCUGUUUUACUAUUCAUCUUCAGUUUAUGCGAAAUGCCAUCCUUCUCGGUCCAGAAUCCAAUGCUUCUCUCUCCUUUCCCAAUUAUAUUCACAAUCUCAUAUGUGUAUAGCUGCAAUUCUCCAUCAAUGAUACGGAAUUCACCACUUAGUCCUGUUUUUGGCUUUGUAUUUCGCAUAGAGUCAAGGAGCAGAGAUCCAAAUUCUGAGGUUCCAAGUGCAUCUAAGUCCGUUAAAUUCUCUCUAGUGUCUGCUUUCUUGAAUUUUGGGAUGAUGGUAGUGCCCACUUUUGCUAUUGCUUUUGUUAAUGCGGUGAUGCUAUCAUAUGCCCAUAGCCCGUAAACAUUGAGUUCAACUGGGUCCAUGUCUGGAUACUCUUGACGGAAUCUCUUUCUCCAUCUCCUCGUGUAAUUGUUAAGCUCAUUUGAUCUUGGAAUAUAAGGUUUUAUACCAAGAACACCUUGCAUUGAUGACUCAAUUACUGAAGUAUCUACCAGGUCCAGAAGACUCGUUAGCACAUCUGUGAUGAUCCAUGCAUAUCCACUGUUCAUCAUCCCGGUUUCUUUGGCCUUGAGGAAAAGGCGGGAGGCAAGAUGUUCUUGCAAGUGCACAAUGAACACCCUGGUCUGCAUUGUCUUCAACUUGUAUAGCUCCCUGAGGAUUUGAUCAUCAUUGGCUGAAGGAGAAAUACCACUUCUAUAGGAGACUAAAGUAUUGAUUUCCAGCAAGGCAUCAGUCAAAUAUGGAAGUAUCCCGGUUCCAUAGGGGCUUUCCUCAUAGAUUACUACAACCUCCCUCCAAUUAUAGUUUUUAACAAUUGCUGCAAUGGCUUUAGUCUGACUGGAAGAAGGAAGUGCGCCUCUGAUGAAGAAGGGAUUUUCCUUGACUGAAAGUGAAGGACUAGUUGCUGGAGAUAUUAUAGGAACUUUAACUCUGUUCCCCAAGUCGAUCACAAAAUCAGUUUGUGUAGACAUUUGUGGCCCAAAGAUAGCUUGCACUUGGACAUCCUUUAGCAAGUAUAUGGCUGCACAUACACAAUCAGACUAUAAGAAAUUGUCUGAACAUCUCUUUUUCAAAAUAGGAAAAGUAAUAUCUUAGAGAAAAAGUGAAUCUUUUGAAGCAAAGAGAGAAAAAUAAUCCUAGUUUAACAUAAGUAAAGCUUAGAGCUGAAUUUUACCAGCUGAUGCUGCUUCAACAUCAUCUUUCUUUGAAUCCCUGAUAUGAGGAACUAUCCUUAUGGCACCGCGACUAGUGUUGGCAUGAUAAUCUGCAAGAGCUAGUAAGAUAGAUAUGUGCAUUACUUUUCCCACAUCUGUUUCCAGAUCAAGAAUUAUGCCCACAUCCACCUUUACAGCACUAGUGUUAUUAUCUUCACCUCUUAUUCCAAUUACAUAGUGGCAAAAGCUAAUGAUGGAAACAAGUUGAAUGAAAAUAAUUAGGAAUUUGCAUCUUGGAUUAUGCAUUUGAAAAACUCUUGUAGAAAGUAAUAUGAGUGUUGGGCAAGAAGCAGUUGUGCUUGUGCAAGAUUUAUAACCACCAUUCAGAGAUGUGUUUAAAGGUAUCUUAACUAUAACUUUUCUACAAUUAAAUGAGACCAAACCUCAUAACUGCAGAAAGAAAAGUCAAAGUUUUCAAAGAAUUACAAAUGGUUUAAAAUAUACUAGUUUGAUUAUUAAAGAAAGAGGACUUUUCACACUUGUUAGACCACAAGCUAGUAAAGCCUCCUCAGUUUUGACCAAAUCAAUAAAUGACUAAAUGAACAUAGUGACAAAAUUGAUUUGUACUCAUUCUCCCAAUACCCAAAGAAGUUUUUGUAUUCAUUGGAUGACUAUCUAGAGGCUACUAAAAGGACUUCCCAUAUUUUGGCUAAGUCAUGUUGAAAGUUGAGUGCUAGCUCAGUUACAAAUAAGUAGAAGAGGUCAGUUUCUAUGACUUGGACAUUGGAAAAGGGCAGCUAUGACUAGUAAUCUUUAGUUUACUUAGACGGUUCAGUUUAGAAUUGGUCAGUAGUAUAAAACUUUAUGGUGGUAGAGGCACAACUUGUAGGGUUGUUCCGGGUUAUCGUUAAAAAAUCAAAUCAAACUUGUAGGGUUGUUUGGUUAGGUUUUAAAUUUUGAAAAUCAACACUAUUUGGUUUGGUUUGGUUUUAAAACUGUAAAAAUAACCAAAUUGAACGUGUAAUUAUAAUAAUUGCUUGAUUGAAUCCACAGUAACUUUCAUGUGUAUUGUUCAUGUACUAGGUGUCUGUGUUUAUAUGUCUUCAAAAAAAUUAUUACUUCCAAAACAAAAAAACAAAAAAAAUUGAACCAAACCGACAAUUAUUUUUUUAUUUGGUUUUAGAAUUUAGAAACCGACUAAAUUGAUCUGGCUUUGAUUUUAGCCAAUAAUCAAUCCAAAUCGAACCAUGAACACCUCUAGGCACAAAUAUAACUUGGUAUGUGAAGGAUUACUAUAAUACCUUUCCUUCAACUUUUUUUUAAAAAAAAAAAACCUCUAUUGGUAAAUUUUUCAAAUCAGUUUUUUUUACUCAUGAGCUCUAUUCCUUUCCCUUUUAUAUUUUUUAUAAUAUAAAAUAUAAGAUAAAAUAAAGAAUUUUUUUAAAAAGAAAUGAGAAAAAAAAUGAUGAAGAUGAGGGGUGAGGAGCUAAAGGAGAGAAGAAAGAUAGAACAUAAGAUGAGAAAGGUAGGGUCCCCAUAUUUUCUUUAUCAAAAAGUAAUUUCUUACCUACCAAAGUCAUAUUUAUGCCUCUACCACCACAAAUUUUUUCGUAUUAACUUGCUUGCAAGUUGCAAAACCAAACAAAGCAAGCAUACCCAAAUGGAGAUGGAAUCUUGGAAUGAGGAUGGUUGGGUAUACAUGUAGGUUUCAAUGUCAUUAUCUCAAUAUAUAUAUACUAGAGGGGCAUGGCCCGUGCUAAGCACGGGCCCAACAUAAACAUAGUUAGUCUAUUAUUCUCUAUAUAGGCAAAAUAUUGUUGGAAACUAUUCACUUAUAUAAGUAACUAAUUCAAGUUAUGUGUUUGUUAACAAAGUUUAUUCAUUCAAGCAUCUGCAAACUAUACACCAUACCAAACCACCAAUAAAGAAAAAGACAUGAAAUGUUAACACAAAUUAAACAACUUCAAAAGAAAGAAAGAAAAGAAGAAGAAUCAAGGAGGUGAAAGAACAUUAAAAUUUUGCAGUCUUAUCAGUCAAAUUCUAGUGGUGUCACAACUUUCACAGGGACCAUCAACUCUUCAACUUUUUGUACAUAUUUGCUUUUCAGUGCCAAUAAAUUAUUAUCUGUCGUUCCUGCAAGUUUUUGGAAAAAGUGUAUCAACAAUUGAUGCUAAAGAUCAUAUACUUUGUUUUGUAUUUUAUUUUACCAAGUAAAAAAGUCAGUAAUUGAUAUACCUAAUUUACUGCACUUAAGACAUUCUAGCUUCUAAAUCUAAUAAAACAAUACUAAUGAACACUUUUAAAUAAAUGAAAGAUGAUGGUACCUAAGGGAUGGAGUAAAUGAAUCAUGUGAAGUAAGCAAAUUGAAGUCAAAGUGAAUGUGUCAAUUACGUGGCCAUUAUAUCAAAUAUUUGUCAAUUCUAACCAAAAAGAAAUUGUUAGACAGUAAAUUUGUAAAACUUUAUAGAAAAUGACCUUUUAUUUUGUCUAUUUUGCCCUUUCAUGUGCUCCUUCAUGUCGCUUCCCCUUUCCAUUUUGUCGUCCCUCUCAUCUCAAUUCCCGUUUUGUUGUCCUCUCUUCCCAAUACUAUUUUUAUCCAGCUUGAUCUGGAAAAGAGGUAACUGACAUAUUAGUGUACUUAAUUUGGAACAAAAUCACUUGGAGAACAAUAAAGUAGGUAAUAAACACGAACAAUACUUAGACUCUGAAGUCUUGGUGAUAGUUAAGUAGUAGAAUGAGGAAGAGAUUAUACAAAUCAAUAGAGUUCAAACAACAACAUAUCUUAUCAAAUCUUAUCACUACCUCGUGGAGGUAGAGGUACUCUUUCCGAAAGAUCAAAUCACUGAUCUCGAUAGUUAUUGUUGAGUAGUUAAUACAUAAAUCUCUCCAGAGUAACAAAAAAAGGGCAGAUAGGGAUUAAAAGAAAUUAAGAAAAUGAAAUACGAUGCUACAUUUCUCAAGAGUUAAAAAGAGGGACAACCAAUUUGAGUAGUAGAUUCAGGUUGAUGGUGAUCUACUAUACAACUAAAUGGUGCAACAACUCAAAAUCUCAAGGAAAACAAAUCAAGACAUUCUUGCAAAUUAAAGGCACUAAUAAAACUGCGGCAGAAAUUCUCGUGACUGUGUGGUUCUAUAUGGAAAAUGACUUCCACAUGCUUGGUCUUAGCAAUACGCCAUGUGCACAAGGAAAAAUAUAUUAUAACCACGCGUUUCUUGUUACCGAUAAACAUGACUUAUGAGAAAGUCAGUUUUUAAGAGAAUUCGAAGAACAACAGGAUAAGAAACUACCCUUUCAUUUACUUUCUCAAACACUUAAUAAGGCUUCCGUUUUUUCAACAUUCUUGCAGAGUUGAUUGUGGAGAUCAACAAUUCAUCCAUUUGACCAUUAUCACUUGUAGACACACUAAACUGACAAAGAGUCUUAUAUCAGGGGUGUAUAAAUGAAAACCCCUUCUUUUCAUAUCUAUUUGAAUUGAUUAAACUUGUCGCACAACAAAUAGGAUCAACGUUUUCAGUAAUCAAAGGAAAGAAAAAAAUCUACAUCAAAGGCAUGUUAUAUGAAGUAUGUGAAAUAAGGAUUGUAGAAACGAAGGAGAAAUAAAGAUUUGAUUAGCUUACCAUUCAAAGUAAUUGUAGACAAACAAAGAAGAAGUGAAUAUUUGAUCACCGCUUACCGUUCAACUCAACUGUAGACAAACGAAGAAGAAGUGAUUGACCCUUAAUUUGGAAUCAAUUGAUUUUUUACUAUAUCUCGAUAAAAAAUUUAAUUUAUGUAACUCAUUUCUAUAUAAACAACCAAGAUGCUUAGAACAUACAUAACAUAUUCAAUGUGGCUUACUUCUAUAAAAAUCAUAAAUAAAAUAUAAAGGAAAGCUUCAAACUCUACCUAAUUAGUUCAUAUGAUCAGCAAAAUCCAAAAAACUUGAAAAAAGAAACAAAUUUGUACUCUCUUGCAGAAAUAAGUUUUGUCUUUUGGAAACAACCUCUCUAUCUCCACGAAGUAGGGGUAACAGUCUACGUACACUCUACCUCCUCAAACCUCACUUAUGGGAACUACACUGGGUAUGUUGAUGUUGUUGUUGUUGAAAUAAGCACAAAAGACUGGACUCUCACUAAAACUUCCGUAAAGAUCAAAUUCUUAAGUUUCAUUCUGCAACUAAAAAUCCCGAAAAUGAAGAAUCAGAUUACUCACAUUGACAAAAGUGGGGUAAAAAAUAACUUGAGCUUUGCUAUUCAAAACAUCAACAACUUCUUCAAUCCCAGAAAGUCUUUUAAUUGCCUUUAAAUGCCUAGCACUAUUUUUUUAAGAAGAAAUUACUGAACAACCUUAGUGAAAAUUCCAAAUUCGCCAUUGCAUCCAACCCCCGUCCCAUCCCUGGACUAUCCUACACCAGCUACCCUUAAAUCCUCACCCAUCCAUCCCAUUGAGUUUUGCUGGAUUACAACGGCCCCCAUCCCAUCCCUUGACUAUCCUAUACAAAAUGGAAAAUCUCUUCUCCAAGGAGUUAGGAGACAAUAAUCGACAUAACUAUGUCAUCUUAUAUAGGGACAAAAUGAAUACAAUCUCACCCUGUGGUCUUCGAAUCUAUAGUAGACAAACGGUAAGUAAAGAGAUAUUGUAUAACUGCACCAACUAUUCAUUAUUUCUGAAGUAAUACAGUGAGUGCAUCACAUGUUAAAGAAAUAAAAUUAAGUUUAUUACUUUUAUUCAUGAACAUGUACAACUCUUGAGAUGAACUUUAAUUUGUCAGUAAACUAUAAAAUAGAGGUAAUUUGUAAAGGCUUAAGCCUAUUGGAUUAGAUUAUGUUCUCCGUGGGGGCAGUUUUUCUUCAACUCCAAAACUGUAUACGUCACUUCUGGUGGUUAUAUGAUUUACAUAUGAGAGGCGACAAUUAGAAGCUGAGAAAAGAAAUGAUCUCAGGUUACAUGACAGAACAAACCAAGUAAUGUUACACUCCCAAUUUCUUUCAGGACACAUAGUAUUGAUAUUUGCGAGCAUGAAAGACUGAAGGAUUAAACAGAGGAGAUAACUCUUAAGAGAGACCUCAUCAAGAACUUAAGAAAAUUUGUGUGAUAAUUUAACAAAUUUAGCGAGGCUAAUUGAUGAAGGAAGUCUAUUCACACUAUAUUCAUUUUAGUGCACUUAUUGACUAAAUGUUUCCCAAGUUCGAAUGUGAGGCCUCUAUUUGAGGAUGUAAUAAAACAACAUUUACCAUUAGAACUAAUUGAGCAGCUUGUGUUAACCCUCUGUAUUUACCUGACGAAUAUGCUUUAAGGUGGAGGAAUUUUUUGCAGUAGUCUUCUAUUAAAACAUCAUUUAAGCUACCUAAAUGAAUGGACAACAUGUAGUUUUUCGACGCAGAAACAAAAAAUCUACCUAACAAAGAGACAGAUAUAUCAAAGAAGCCACAGGUCGAUAAUCAGAGUGUCCUAAAGAGUUACAUUUACAAAAGUUGAGGAGACUGGACACGCUGUCAAAUUAACUCAACACUGAUGCUGCAUUGAAAGUGAGAGUCCAUGUAAUGUGGAUACAAUUCAUUAAGUACACACAAAACAGUCAGCAACUAAUUUCAGUGAUGUGCAACAAAAUUCAUAUAACAUAGCCACCAAGUUGACCAUAAAAUCCAUCAAAACACAUUAAUGAGGAAUUCGUCUUACUUCAGUUUUGAAUUCCCCCGGCUUUUAAGUAUACAAGCCACAUUUUUACUGAAUUUUCUCUUCAAGUGCAGUAAAGUAGCUCAAAGAACAGAAAGCAAAGUUACAACUGACAACUACAUCGAGAAAGAGGCUACUAUGGACUGUCAAUUUUUACAUGUGAAUCCAAAAAUUAAGCUCGCAUAACAACGGGUAAUAUACCAAAUUCAUAUUAAAUUUUAGAUCAAACAACAUCAUUUAUCAUGCCAAAACAGUCUAGCUGUGCAACUUUUAAGCAAUUUGGAUACACUUAUAUCUAAAAAUUGGCUAAACUAUUGAUAAACGUACUAUCUAAUGCUGGAAAUAUGACAUAGUACAGUGAAUAUUGAUCAAUUUACUACCAUCGCUGCAUUUUGAUACUCCUUGAACAGAGAAACGGAUGGAAAUGGACCAGCCAAGCUACGCCUAAUUACACCAUCUCUAUCUUUUAACUACUUUUGUACUUGGCUUCCGAUUGACGCUCAGCUCAGGUAAAGCACAAGAACAAUUAGGAGUAAAUUGAAAUUGUAUAUUACCAGUGGUCAUAUACUCGGGAGUAGCACAACUGAAUUGUAUGGACAAAUCAUAAGAGGGCAACAGAAAUAUUGUUAAAACUUGUAGAAGACUAAAUUUUAAAGUAGUUUUAGAUACAGCAGCCAGCAAAAUGUUAGAUGAUUUGAAAUCCUGAUACAUAAUUUUAGCUUCUGGGCUGUGGAGAUAUGUCAGUCCUUUAGCUGCCUUGAGAGUAACCUUCAUUCGGAGAUUCUAUGAUAGCGGUUGGAAAUAAGCACUCCUCUGUUCAAGAUGUACCAAAGGUUUAUUCAAUGACAUUACACGGAUAAUAUUAGUGGAUGUCCUCAAAUUAGAUGUGGAUUCAAGAUUUCAAGUUUAUGGAUUUCUAUAAUGAACUAAGUUCAUAGUAAAAUAAAUUUCUUAUACAUGGUUUAGAAAAAACAAUUGGGUCCCCAUGAAUCUACAUAUCAUAUUGUGGAUCUGUUCUUGCGUUAAAUAUGCAGUUAUGGUUUCAUACAAACUAUACUUACUUCUGAAUAGAUGAUUUUCCAAACUUCCCCUCGGCAUGAAUUCGCACACCAGAAUCUUGUGUUCAUCUUCUAACCUGGCUCAGGUAAGCAAUUUUCGCCUGUAGUUUAAGUGUACAGAGAAAACAGUUAAUCAACUUAUCAAGAUCAAGAAUUAUAGGAAAGCUUCAAUGUCUUUGAUAAAACAAUCAUCGGAUAUUUUAAAGGGAAGAGUUUAUAUACCAAUCAUUCCUUGUGACCUUGAAAGCUUUCUUCAAGAAUUUCACUUUGACUUUGAGGAGUCAACUGAGCCGAUAAAUAUGAAUGUGAUCAUGGAAAUGAUGCCUAAUUAAUAUGUAUCUUUGUAUGUCUUCUGUCUGUUCCUAGUAAAAGUUGCACCAGUUUACAUCAAUUAAGUAAUAAACUGAAUAAGUUAUAACAUGACUAUCUUAUAGCUUAUUUCAAACUGAACACGUACAUCUUCAUUACGUUUUUUAAAAUUUAGUAGAAAUAGAAAUGUAUAAUGGUACCUGAUAAGCAAAUCAAAUUCGUGACUAUCUUCUUGGCUCAUUCGUUAUGGAUGAACUUGAAGUUUCAUAAUGAACUUACUUUCAGCAGGGUUAUAAGCAUCCAGAUCAUAAAAUUCUUCAGGGGCAAAUGGUAUAGGAACAAAUCUCUGAGCCAAUUUUGUAAUUCCCUCAAGGCGGUAACUAUUGAUUGAAAUCUGCAUUUUUCCAUAGCUUUCAGAUAAAUGAAUAAGAUGUGUUAAAAAUGGAGAUUGUUUGCUAUUUAUAUACCGAAACUUGCACUCUAUGAAAAAUAAAUAACUUAUCUUACAAAGAAUUCUUCAUGUUCAAAGAAAGUCUCCCGUGUCAUAUAAGCAAAUUAUAGUUUAUGUUUAUCUACAUAUACAUAUGUUAGUAUUCAACAUUAUAAUUCAACUGCAUAUCCAACUGGAAAAUUAAAUCAACUAAAGAGGGAGAAAUACUGGACUUUCCACAUAUGAGAAAGGGUUGUGAAAAUAGGGUAACUCUAAUAGCUAAUCCUUCCAGUUGAAAGUGUUUUUGAGAAAAAAAAUCAAAUUAAGUUCGAUGUACCUGAUAACGCUCAAUGUUCCCUGCAUGGCAUCUUCUCAAUUUCUUUCCUUUCCUUUCUUCUCCAAGUACUUGUAAAGUCCUAUUUAUGAAAAAUUAACAAAUUGAAAAAACACCCACAUCAAGAACAAAAGCGGAAGAAACACUACAUUUCAAUAAUCAAAAGCACAAAAAAUUGAAAUACAAAGCGGGACAACGGAGAAGAAGAGGAGUAAACGACCAUAACAACAACAUCCAAUCAAGUUUAGAUUCAGUACAUGCAACAUUACCACAACCUAAACACCAAAAUUGAUGAAUAAAAAAAAGUCGGAACUCAUCAAAUGAAAAAAUCGACAAAACAGAUCUAAAGUCAAAAGGCAAAACAAAAAUGAGAAGAAAGAAGGAAGGGAAGAAGCAGUGCAUACCUAGGAAGGUAUGCAAUUUAACUGAGAAUUUCAUAUGAGGGCUUGCAAAACCCUUCCAUUUUGCAGAGCAUUUUUUCUUGGGACAGAGAAUGGAUGCAGAGGAACAGGGAUAUAUCACAUAGCUAGGACACGUGUUUCACAGAUGAAUAUACAGAUACACAUUAGUUAGAAAGCAAUGAGUCAAAUUACCAAAUUAACCCUAUUGGUACAAUUAACUUGAAUUUUGGUACAACUUGUAUAUGUUGUGUUAGUCCGAACUCUUGUUGGCUGUAGAAGGACACGUGUAGCCCACGUGUUUAUUCAAUAGUGAAUAGGGCUUAAUGGUACAGUACAAUUUUUUAUACUAUUGGUACAACUUUGUAGAGCUGUGUUGGUACUCUUCUUGUUGGCUUAUAUAUAAGGGUAAAGAGCUGUGUUGGUACUCUUCUUGUUGGCUUAUAUAUAAGGGUAAAGAGCUGUGUUGGUACUCUUCUUGUUGGCUUAUAUAUAAGGGUAAAGAGCUGUGUUGGUACUCUUCUUGUUGGCUUAUAUAUAAGGGUAAAGAGCUGUGUUGGUACUCUUCUUGUUGGCUUAUAUAUAAGGGUAAUAUAUAUACUCCCUCCGUCCCAAUUUAUGUGGCACCCUUUAUUUAUAGUCUGUUCCAAAAAACAAUGUCAUCUUACUAUAAUUAGAAACAAGGGAAAAGACUCAAAUAUGUUAUUGAAAUUUGAGAAAAGACUCAUUUAUGUCGUCCGUUAAAAGUUUGGUUCAUCUAUGUCAUUUUCGUUUGAGAAAAAACUCAUCCAUAUCAUUAGUUGUAAACUAAAAAUAAUUUUGGUUUUGUAAGAUCAUUUUAUACACGUGGUCAAUUAUGAUUUGGCCAUGUCAUCAAUUAAAUCAUUUCUAUAGAAGAGAAAAGGUUCAAAUAUGUCAUCGAACUUUGAGAAAAACUCAUUUAUAACAUCCGUUAAAAGUUUGUCUCAUCUAUGCUAUUUCAGUUAAUAAAUAAUGGCAUGAAUGAGGUUUUUCUCAAAUGAAAAUGGCAUAGAUGAGCCAAUUUUUUAACGAAUGACAUAUAUGACCUUUCUCAAAGUUCGAUGGCAUAUUUGAGUUUUUUCACUAGAAACAAUUUCAUUUAAAAUUCACUGUUAUCCUUAAUGAAAUUAUUUACAAACACACAAAUAUCUAAGGAUUGUUUUAAAUCACAAGUUUAAAAGUCUUUUUUUAAAAAAAUAAAUAUAUCGUGUCAAGUUAAACAAUGCCACAUAAAAUGAGACGGAGAGAGUAAUUGUUAAUGCAAGAGGAAGCUGCUCGGGAAGUUACGUGUAUGAUGUUGAAGUUAUUUGACAUGCAAUUGAGGUGAUCCUAUAAUCUUCCAGUAGUUAUGACUAGUAAAAUCACUCAAUUUAUAAAAUAAUACUUAAAAUAUAUGAGUCAUUAAAACUAAAACACUAUAUUAUCUUACAUAUAAGAUUACAUAUAACAAACAUUAAUAAUGUAAGUAAAAAAAAAUUUGAAUAUGUUAACAAAUUUUUGAAUUUUUUCCUCAGACAUAUAUCACAAUUGUAAAAUCUAUGCAACUUAAAUGUGUUCUUGUUCUUACGAAACGCCUUUGUGUAUAUAUAUUCUUAUUUUAUUCUCUCUUUUUUUCCUUUUAAUGAUGAUUAAAUAACCAUUAAUUUAUUAUUUCCUGAAUAAUUCAUUCAUUAGAUGUUCUUGAGUUUAUGUGAUAAUGACAAAUAAUAGUAUAGAUUCUUUUAAGGAAUUUUUUACUGUACCUUCAACAAUUUCAUGAUCAGUAGAGAAAACUUGCAUGAAUACUCAAUUAACAUGUGUUGUUUAAUCUGUACUAACAAAUACUUAAAACAAUAACUUUGUAGAAACAUAAACACAAGUUUAAAACAUGUACUCAAAAACAAUAAUUAAUAACAUAAGCAUAAAUUAAUGAUUGUAAAAAAAUAUACCAGGAUCUGUAAUAAUAGGAUGAAACAGAAAGGAAAAAACUGUACACGAAUAUUUAAUUGUGCAGAUUAAGAAGAAGAAGUUCAAAAUUUUCGUUUUUUUAAAAUGAGAGGAAAUCACUCUAUUUAUAGCUAGACAACAAAGGGUAGUGUGAACAAAUGUUUAUUGUGCCUUAUCGAAAAGGUCACAACUCUUUGGAAAAGUUACAACUGUUUGGAAAGGUCAUAACCUUUCAUAAAAGACACAACUUUUCAUAAAAGUCGCAACUCUACAUAGAAGUUACAACUUUUCAUAAAAGUCGCAACUGUUCAUAUAAGUCGCAACUUUUCAUAAAAGUCACAACUUUUCAUUAAAGUAGCAAAUUUUUAUGAAAGGGGAAGGAUAGUUUUGUAAAUAUAUUAAUUAAAAAAGGAAUCAUGGUUUGUGAUGGCGCCACGUAGGCAGGCCUAGGAUUCUCUUUUAUAUAUAUAUAUGAUAUAUGAUAUGAUUAUUUACUGUGGUCGUUUUCUGAUAUGAUCACAAUAAGAUAUAACCGUCUAUUAUCUUUUAAACUUGUUUUUCUUUUUAGUUUGCAAUAUAUUUUGGAUUGGUAACAUUAGUAGUAUUAAAUUGUUAACAGCACUAGUUUGCAAUAUUUUUGGUUUCUACAAACAUUAUUUGCACAUAUUGAAAGAAAUAUAUAUGAUAUGGUUUCAUUGAAUUAUAUCCUCUACAUAAGCAGUGAAGACAAACAAAGUACUAAUGUUAUUUAAAUUGUCUCUAAAAUUUUGAUGAUUUAACAAACUUUGAGAUCUAACGAACGACCAGAUUCCAAGAGAGAUUGAGAGUUCCGUUUAUGAAAAAAACAGCGGUCUAAAAGCUGCAACACCUGCUGUGGUUGGUGCACGUAUUUUGCAGCAGACAUUCAGCCAAUAGCAGGGCAUUGCUUCAAGAGUUUGGGUCCAUCCUAUAAUACACCUCUUUGACAUUGACACAAACUCAAGUUUUUGCAAUAUAAAAAUUCACAACAGCAAAAGUCAUUCUCUCAGGGAAAUAUUUCUCGAUAAAUGAUAGAGUUAUCAUCGUUCUUAUGUGUUUUUAGGGCUUAUAUUUCUGUGCUUAUACUUGUAAGAUCUAUUCCUACGUUAUAAAGGAAUUAGAUCAUUUGAAGUUUUUUCUGAGUAUUCCGAGUUAUAUCUAGAGUUAGUUAUGUUGUAUUCUUGAAUUCUAGAUCAACUAUAGCUAGUUGAUUUAGUGGGUCAUAGAGUUAUUGCUUAGUUUUUGAGUAACAGAGUUGUUACUAUGAGGGGAAGGGAUUAAGAGUUUAAUUCCUAGGUUACAAGAGUUUGUAAUCUGAAGCUUUGCACUUUUGAUGAUAAUGGAGUUGGGUUAAAUCCUGUGAGACAGACCGUGGUUUUUUCCUCCCUUGAACAAGGGGCUUUCCACGUAAAACUCUUGUAUUUGUUUUAAUUUGUGUUAUUUAUUUUCCACACAAUUUUUCUUUCAAGGGACUUGGUCCAUUGACCGUUAGUGGACGCAUACAUUCUAUGAGUACUAAUAAGAUUGAAAAAGAAACCACUAAGAAAAAGUUAGGGUUAAAUCCAUCAAAUGGAAUCCUGGAGCCACCUCUUGAUGCUAAUAUUCUGGCCAAGAUCAGUAACAAAGAUAUAAUGUAAUCUGGUUUAACUAACCCUAAAGCUAGCUCAUCUCUGUGCAAUCUCAUAUAGGGCCCUAUUCAGGUGUGUCACAAUUAUGGUAGUAGCUAUAUGUGUCAUCUUUCUUCAAUUGUGUCUGUAAUGGUUUCAUGAACUGGAGUUCCAGGUUCUGUUGUAGAGAACCCUUCAGCAGCAGGGGAUGCUCCUAGUCCGUCGGAAAUUCUGAUUUCUGGGAUUUGCAAAGGAAGGUCAGGCAAUAUCUCAGGAGAAGCUUCACUUGCUGCGAGCAAUUUAGGUGCAUUGCUUUCAGAUGGCUUUUCUGACAUAGAAUUAGAGUUGUCUUUCUCUUCAUCAAAGACUUUUGCAAUUGCUGUAAGCUUCUGCCAUAUUGAAUCAUCAGUGGCUAAGAUUUCUCUAUUCUGAUUAAGGAAGUUGAGGAAGAAUAGGAGAAGAGCGAAGCCUGCUGAUACACCAGCUAUGAGGAAAAGUCCCUUAAACCUAUCUAACGUGAGGCUAUCAGAUGUUAUAGCCGUUUCAUCUUUCUGUGGACAAUCUGUUUCAUUCCCAAACCAUUUCUGUAUUAUGUUAUUCAUGAACUCUCCUUCCAUCACCUUCAAGACUGCUCUUGAGACGUCAGGUACCAAAGGAGAUCCUUUUGGAAAUGCCUGCAAUAAAAGAUUAGAUGAUUGAGUAAACAACAAAUCAUUCUAAAUAUAUGUUAACAGUGUCUGAAACAUCAGUGGAGUGUACAAUCUUACAAACCCAAAACCGGCAGCCUUGUAUGUCUGGCCGACCAUAACAUACUUCCUGCAGUACUUGUUGAGGAAGAGUCUGAGAUAAGGUAGUUCAUCAACAAUUGCACCUACACCUCCAUUUUUGCUUCCUCUUGAGAGGGCUUCAUCAUAUUCUUUCAAUGUGAUAUAACUUCUGAACUUGGAGCUGUCAAAUUUCAUGCGCUUUAUGAAGACAUCUUUGACAAAGGAACCUUCUUGGUACCCAACAUAUUCUCCAUUCUUGAUGAGAUCAUUGAGGUCUGUUAUAGUAGGUUGGAGCUGUUGCAGUGUCAACAUAGAUGUUAAGCUGGCUGUAUAACUUGAUGUCAGCACCAGAACCACAAAAACCCACACAAUCAGCAAAAAUCUUGUUAAGUUACUUGUUACCCUCUCUCCUGCAACAACCAGCCAUAACAUAUUCUCCAUUCUUGAUGAGAUCAUUGAGGUCUGUUAUAGUAGGUUGAAGCUGUUGCACUGUUAACAUAGAUGUUAAGCUGGCUGUAUAACUUGAUGUCAGCACCAGAACCACAAAAACCCACACAAUCAGCAAAAAUCUUGUUAAGUUACUUGUUACCCUCUCGGCUCGCUAAAAUGGUCACAUCACCUACAACUGCAUCAUAGUCCUGGCUCAAGCAAACAUUGAUUAUUCCAGUAUGUAUAGUUGAUUGUAAUAGCAGAAAAUAGAUAUCGAAGUCCCAAAAAGGACCAUGUUAGUAAGAUAUAGAGCCAAAGAGGUUUAUUGGAACAGAGAUUAUAUAUUACCUGAGAAGUGAUCUUGUGAACAAGAUCAUCAUAGUAUGGAAGAGUGAGGGGAUCUUGUAUUGGAGAUGGAAUAAAUUCGUAAGGGAGAGCAUAUGGCAAAGAUAGGAUGACUUCUUUGAAGACAUCUGCACAGAAACCAGUUGCUGUUACUGCUUGUGUUUUUGAAUCUCUUUCCACUUUAAUGAGUUGCUCCAGCCCUCCUUUGAGAGGAACUCCAACCCUUAACUUCUUCCCACUUGUGGGCAUUUCCCAGCCUCUUGGAACAAUAGUUGAUUCACCAGGCCAAAAAAUGGUUCCUAGUUGCUCAUUAUUACACUUAACUGCUGUUUUACCACUGUUUUACUAUUCAUCUUCAGUUUAUGCGAAAUGCCAUCCUUCUCUGUCCAGAAUCCAACGCUUCUCUCUCCUUUCCCAAUUAUAUUCACAAUCUGAUAUGGGAUUGGCUGCAGUUCUCCAUUGAUGAUACGGAAAUCACCACUUAAUCCUUGUUUUAGCACUGUGUUUCGCAUAGAGUCAAUGAGCAGAGAUCCCACUGCUGACGUUCCAAGUGCAUCUAAGUCUGUUAAGUUCUCUCUGGUGUCUGGUUUCUUUAAUUUUGGGAUAGCAGUAGUGCCCACUUUAUCUAUUGCUUCUGCUAAUGAGGUGAUGCUAUCGUAUGCCCAUAGCCCGAAAACAUUGAGUUCUAUUUGGUCCAUGUCUGGAUACUCUUGACGGAAUCUCUUUCUCCAUCUUUUCGUGUAAUUGUUAAGCUGAUUUGAUCUUGGAAUAUAAGGUUUUAUACCAAGAACACCUUGCAUUGAUGACUCAAUGACUGAAUGAUCUACUGAGUCCAGAAGACUCGUUAGCACAUCUGUGAUGAUCCAUGCAUAUCCACUGCUCAUCAUCCCGGCUUCUUUGGCCUUGAGAAAAAGGCGGGAGGCAAGAUAUGGUCGCAAGUGCACGACGAACACCCUGGUCUGCUUUGUAUUCAUAUUGUAUAACUCCUUGAGAAUUUGAUCAUCAUUGGCUGACGGAGAAAUAACACUUCUAUAGGAGACUAAAGUGCUGAUUUCCAGUAAGGCAUCAGUCAAAUGUGGAACUAUCCCGAACCCAUAGGGGCUAUCCUCAUAGAUGACCACAACCUCUCUCCAAUCAAAUUUUUUAACAAGUGCUGCAAUGGCCUUAGUCUGGCUGGAAGAAGGCAGUGCUGCUCUGAUGAAGAAGGGAUUUUCCUUGACUGUAAGUAAAGGACUUGUUGCUGGAGAAAUUAUAGGGACUUUUGUUCUGUUCCCUAAGUCAAUCACAAAAUCAGUUUGUGUUGACAUUUGUGGCCCAAAAAUAGCUUGUACUUGGACAUCCUUUAGCAAGUAUAUGGCUGCACAUACACAAUCAGACAAUAAGAAUUUACCCAAAGUAAGAGUUUAAUAGAAGUGAAUCAUGGAACUGAAUUUACCAGCAGAUGUUGCUUCAACAUCAUCUUUCUUGGAAUCCUUGAUAUGAGGAACUAUCCUUAUGGCACCGCGACUAGUGUUGGCAUGAUAAUCUUCAAGUGCUAGUAAGAUAGAUAUGUGCAUUACUUUUCCCUACAUCUGUUUCCUAGAUCAAGAAUUAUACCCACAUCCACCUUUACAGCACUAGUGUUAUUAUCUUCACCUCUUAUUGGAAUUACAUAGUGGUAAAAGCUAAUGAUGGAGAUAAGUUGAAUGAAAAGAAUUAGAAAGUGGCAUCUUGGAUUAUGCAUUUGAAAAAACUCUGGUAGCAAGUAGUCUGAGAGAUGGGCAACAAGCAGUUGUGCUUGUGCAAGAUAACCACACAUUCAGAAUGAUAAAUUUUCCUAUAAUUAAUAAGACCAAACUCCAUAAAUGCAGAAACAAAAGUCAAAGAACAAAUGGUUGAAAAUCAAGUAUUCGUUUGAUUAUUGAAAGUGAGGACUUUUCACAUAUGCUACAACCGCACAGCUAGUAAGCAUACUACCCCUCAGUUUUGACUAAAUAAAAAAUUGGCAAAAUUGAUUGGUACUCAUUCCCCCAAUACCCAAUAACUUUUUGUGUGUACUAUCUAGAGGAUAUAUUCAAGGGAACUUACAUGAAUUCAACUAAUUUAGAAGUUAAUUACUUGAAUACAUUGUAGUUUGCAAUAUUACGUAUUUUACUAGAUUUUGGUAUGUCCAGAUACAUAUAUGUGAGGUUACUUAGAAUCAAAAUUAGGUGUAAUUUGCUCUAGAUGCAUUGUAUCUAAGUGACUUUGCAUGUAUCUGGGAUACAUAACAAAUCUCGCUCGCCUCUCUCCCAUCUCUCACUCUCCUAUGUAUCUGAUAUUCCAUAUACAUGUGAAUCACACCAGAUACAUACACAUAAAUGUAUCUUAUGUGUAUAUAGUGUGAUUCGCAUGUAUCUGGGAUACAUAACAAAUCCCGCUUGCCUCUUUUCUCAUCUCGUUCCCCUAUCUCCCUAUUUUUGUGUAUCUAAUGGCAAAAAUACAUGUAGCCAAAUGUAUUUUCCUCAAUAUAUGAUAGGAAACUCUUAAUUAGUGAUAGUAUACGAAAUAUUUUAAAAGUAUAGAAUAUAAUAGUAUAUAUGAUAGUGAAGUAUGUCUAAUGAUAUAGUUUUUCUGUAUUGAAAGGACUUCCCAAAUUUUGGCUGAGGCAUAAAAAGUUGACAAAUUUAGCUCAGUUACAAAUUCCACAAUUAAACCAAUAAGUAGAAGAGACCAUUGUUUUCCAACUUGGACAAGGCUAGAUACGACUAGUAAUCUUUAGUUUACGCUUUUUCGGUUACUAGUUUUUGGACACGUGCGUUGCACGUAUAUCCCAUAUUAUAUGGUUGCAUAAUAUAUGUCUAUAGUUACAAAUAUAUGUAUAAAAAAAAAUUGAUUGUGAUAUAAAUUGGAAAACAUGUAUAAGAUAAGAAAUCAAAACAGAUACCCUCAAAUUUCAAACUAUAAGCAUAAUAAGAAUAUGUAUUUCUAAUGAGUUUAAUCAAUCAUACCUUGCAAUAAUCUCUGCAAUUCAUUGAGAAACUUUCAAUCCAUACAUCAACAUUCAAUCGUGUAUAUAUAAAGAAAACUUGAAAUGCAUAACAACAAUUAUAUCUAUAUUUUUUAAAACACUAUAAAGUCAUUUUUUCUUUUUGCAUUAUAAUAUGGAUUGCACACAAUUUCUAUUAAAAAAAAGAAAGACAAAAUUAGGAAAAAUCGUAUCAAUAAAUUGGAAUGAAAAAUGUAAAAUUGUAAUAAGAGGAAGAGAAGAAAAAUCAGUAGAAUAUAUUUACCUAACCAUGAAUAAGGAAGUAUGUUGAGUAAAAGAAGAGUAAUGCAAAAGUGUGANNNNNNNNNNNNNNNNNNNNNNNNNNNNNNNNNNNNNNNNNNNGUAUGUGUAGUUAAUGGGGUAGUGAAAAAGACUCUUUCUGAAAUUAUUUUUAUCUCUUUAAAGUAAUUUUGAAAUUUUAAUAUUAGUGCUAUAGAAAAUCAUAUAAAGUCAUAAGCCACUGCAAGUUUUUAUAGUAAUUAUCUUAUUAAAUUAUAUACCUAUUAUUUAUUUUUAAUUAUUUAUAAUCAUUCCGAAAAUGUAUAAAUUAAUUUUGAAAAGCUUGUAAAAUGAGAAAUUAUUAUUUCUUAUCAUUAUUUUAGCUAUUAUUAACAUUUAGUAUGACAACAUUUUAAAAAAGCACCUUCCUUUAAAUAUUAAUUGUUUCUUAAUUAACGUAGCCAAGAAUUUAAAUUGUUGUGACGUUUUGUUUAUCUAAACACGCAGAAUUUUGUUUUUGAACCUGGAACAUGUAAUUAAGCCUUGGGUGAAUUAUAAUUUUAUUUUUACUAUUUAAUUAAUUAAAUAAUUUAUAACAUUUUAAUAUAAUGAAGGGGUAAAAUGGUAAUUCAACUUUAAAGGUUGGAGCUUCCCACUUUUAGUAAUAUAUAUGAUAAAUUGGUCAGUAGUAGAACCUAGUUUAAUUUGAUACGGAGUUAAAGAAAAUAAACAUGACUUUUCAAUCUUGUGGUCUUAAAUUAAAGUUAUGUUAAAUAUACCAAAAUGGUUUUUAAUCUUAUGACUUUAAACAUGUCACGUAAAAAGCUGAAAUUAAAGUGUUGCCAAAAAAAGAAGGGUCAUUUUUUUUAAACAGACUAAACAGAAAAGUAGAUCAUUCUUUUUAAAACGGAAGGGAAGUAAUUGUUAAUGCAAGAGGAAGCUGCUUGAGAAGUUACGUAUAUGAUGUUGAAGUUGUCAAACAUGCAAUGCUGGUCCUAUAAUCUUUCAUUAUUUAUUAUCCAUGACUAUGGGUGGAUAAUAAUAGUUAUCUGCUAUGAUCAUAUAUACCUAGGGGUGGACAUAUUACUUAGAAAACUUAUGUUAGGUAAUUUUGAUUUCUAAAAAUACUAUAUGGUGUAUGCUAUUUGCAGAUGAUAGUCCUAAUCGACCAGACUCGUAAUAGAGUUAAUGUUAAGCUAGAGAAGAUAAUAAUGGCUCCUUUCUCAAAUAUUUCAUUGGUAGAAAUUUGUCUUCCAGAAUUUCAUAAUUGCAUCUGGUCCUUUCUGAUAACUCACAGGGCUUCUUAAAUUGGUGCGGAAGUUUAAUUUUGACAUGGAACGCAAAUAUAUGCUGAAAAUUAGUAAUUCAAUAAAUAUUUAAUUUUGAAUGCAUAUUACAAAAGUGCAAGGAAUUCAAUUGUAAGAUGUUGAAGGUUAAACCCAUAAAUUCUAUAUACUAAAGACGCCUCUUAAUGCAAAUAUAAUAUGGUUUAACUAUUUUAAACCUGGCUUAUCUCUCUUAAGUUAUCCCUGUAAUGUUUUCAUGAACUGGAGUUCCAGGUUCUGUUGUAGAGAACCCUUCAAGUGCAGGGGAUGCUCCUAAGCCGUCGGAAAUUCUGAUUUCUGGGCUUUGCAAAGGAAGGUGGGGCAAUAUUUCAGUAGAAGCUUCACUUUCUGCAAACAGUGUAGCUGUUUGGAUUUCAUUGCCUUCAGAUGGCUCUUCUGACAUAGAAUUAGAGUUGUCUCUCUCUUUAUCAAAGGCAUUUGCUAUUGCAGAAAGCUUUUGCCAUACUGAAUCAUCAGUGGCUAAGAUUUCUCUAUUCUGAUAAAGGAAGAUGAGGAAGAAUAGGAGAAGAGCGGAGCCUGCUGAUACACCAGCUAUGAGGAAAAGGCCCAUAAAACUAUCUAGUGUGAGGCUAGAUGCUAUAGCCAUUCCAUCUUGCUUUGGACAAUCUGUUUCAUUCCCAAACCAUUUCUGUAUUAUGUUAUUCAUAAACUCUCCUUCCAUCACCUGCAAGACUGCUCUUGAGACGUCAG
rnacentral:lncRNA from 1 species